GCUGGCGGCAGGCCUAACACCUGCAAGGUCAAGCGGUAGCGGGAAAGUAGCUUGCUACUUUUGCCGGCGAGCGGCGGACGGGUGACUAAUGCCUGCGAAAUGGCCCGAGUCGGAGGGGGAUAACAGUUGGAAAGCGGAGCUUGCGUAAGUACCUGCAUAGCGCCCUACAGGGGGAAAGCAGGGGACCUUCGGGGCCUUGCGCAGAUUGGAUAUGCCCAAGGUUGUGGAAUUAAGCUAGUUGGAUGAGGGUAAAUGGCAUCACCAAAGGCGACAGAAUCCCUAGCUGGUCUGAGAGAGAUGAUCAGCACAGCACUUGGAACUGAGACACGGUCCACGACAUCCAUACGGGAGGCAGCAGUGGGGAAUAUUGCACAAAUGGGGGAAACCCUGAUGCAGCCAUGCCGCGUGUGUGAAGAAGGCCUUCGGGUUAGUAAAGCACUUUCAGACGAGGAGGAAAGGUUGAUGCCUAAUACGUAUCAACUGUGACGUUACUCGCAGAAGAAGCACCGGACUAACUCCGUGCCAGCAGCCGCGGUAAUACGGAGGGUGCAAGCGUUACAUCGGAAUUACUGGGCGUAAAGCGCACGCAGGCGGUUGGAAUAAGUUAAGAUUGUGAAAAGCCCCCAGGGGCUCAACACCUGGGAAAUUGCAAUUUAACAACUGUCCAAGCUAAGAAGUCAUGUAGCAGGGGGGGUCACAAUUCCCAGGUGUAGCGGUGAACAUGCGUGAAGAUCUGGACAGAAUACCGGUCGCGAAGCGGCCCCCUGGACAAAACCGAAGCUCAAGGUCAAAAGCGUCGGGAGAACAGGAUUAAUCCCCUUGUA
rnacentral:rRNA from 1 species